GGGUCAGUAGGUUGGUCGUGCCACCGGUACGUACUGGUCUCACUGAUUCCUCCUUCCUGAAGAACCGUAAUGCCAUUAAUUUGGUGUUGCGGGGAAACAGGACUGUUACUUUGAAAAAAUUAGAGUGUUUAAAGCAAGCUAACGCUUGGAUACACUAGCAUGGAAUAAUGAAAUAGGACGAUCGAUCCUAUUUUGUUGGUUUCUAGGAUUGACGUA
rnacentral:rRNA from 1 species